GCUGGGUGUUGUGGUGCACACCUGUAAUUCCAGCAGCUUGGGAGGCUGAGGCAGGAGGAUCACAACUUCAAAGCCAGCCUCAGCAAUGGCGAGGCCCUAAGCAAUUCAGUGAGACCCUGUCUAUA
rnacentral:sRNA from 1 species